GUGCCCUUGAGGCGUGGCUUCCGGAGCUAACGCGUUAAGUCGACCGCCUGGGGAGUACGGCCGCAAGGUUAAAACUCAAAUGAAUUGACGGGGGCCCGCACAAGCGGUGGAGCAUGUGGUUUAAUUCGAUGCAACGCGAAGAACCUUACCUGGUCUUGACAUCCACAGAACUUUCCAGAGAUGGAUUGGUGCCUUCGGGAACUGUGAGACAGGUGCUGCAUGGCUGUCGUCAGCUCGUGUUGUGAAAUGUUGGGUUAAGUCCCGCAACGAGCGCAACCCUUAUCCUUUGUUGCCAGCGGUCCGGCCGGGAACUCAAAGGAGACUGCCAGUGAUAAACUGGAGGAAGGUGGGGAUGACGUCAAGUCAUCAUGGCCCUUACGACCAGGGCUACACACGUGCUACAAUGGCGCAUACAAAGAGAAGCGACCUCGCGAGAGCAAGCGGACCUCAUAAAGUGCGUCGUAGUCCGGAUUGGAGUCUGCAACUCGACUCCAUGAAGUCGGAAUCGCUAGUAAUCGUGGAUCAGAAUGCCACGGUGAAUACGUUCCCGGGCCUUGUACACACCGCCCGUCACACCAUGGGAGUGGGUUGCAAAAGAAGUAGGUAGCUUAACCUUCGGGAGGGCGCUUACCACUUUGUGAUUCAUGACUGGGGUGAAGUCGUAACAAGGUAACCGUAGGGGAACCUGCGGUUGGAUCACCUCCUU
rnacentral:rRNA from 1 species